rnacentral:rRNA from 1 species
CAUCCUACGGGACGCAGCAGUGGGGAAUAUUGCGCAAUGGGCGAAAGCCUGACGCAGCGACGCCACGUGAGGGAUGAAGGUCUUCGGAUCGUAAACCUCUGUCAGCAGGGAAGAACGGUCACUGUGCUAAUCAGCAGUGAAUUGACGGUACCUGCAAAGGAAGCACCGGCUAACUCCGUGCCAGCAGCCGCGGUAAUACGGAGGGGGCAAGCGUUGUCCGGAAUGACUGGGCGUAAAGGGAGUGUAGGCGGCCUUGUAAGUUAGAUGUGAAAUCCUACGGCUUAACCGUAGAACUGCAUCUAAAA